ensembl:lncRNA
GUGUAUUGGUGUGUAUUGGUGUAAAGUGGUGUGUGUAUUGGUGUGUAUUGGUGUGUAUUGCAGUGUAUUGGUGUGCAUUGCUGUGUAUUGGUGUGUAUUGCAGUGUAUUGGUGUGUAUUGGUGUAAAGUGGUGUGUGUAUUAGUGUGUAUUAGUGUGUAUUAGUGUGCAUUGCUGUGUAUUGCUGUGUAUUAGUGUGUAUUGCAGUGUAUUGGUGUGUAUUGGUGUGUAUUGCAGUGUAUUGGUGUGUAUUGGUGUGUAUUGGUGUGUGUUGUUGUGUAUUGGUGUGUAUGGUUGUGUAUUAGUGUGUAUUGCAGUGUAUUGGUGUGUAUUGGUGUGUAUUGGUGUGUAUUGCAGUGUAUUGGUGUGUAUUGGUGUGUAUUGCAGUGUAUUGGUGUGUAUUGGUGUGUAUUAGUGUGUAUUGGUGUGUAUUGGUGUAAAGUGGUGUGUGUAUUAGUGUGCAUUGCUGU